AUGGGUUCAAGGGCUUCACUGCUGUGGAUCCUGCUGCUCUGGGUUCCAGGCUCCACUGGGGACAUUGUGCUGACUCAGUCUCCAGUUUCCUUGGUGGUGUCUUCAGGUCAGAGGGCUGCCAUAUCCUGCAGGGCCAGUCAGAGUGUCACUUCAGGCAGUUACAGCUUUAUUAACUGGUAUCAACAGAAACCAAGACAGCCUCCUAAACUCCUGAUCUAUGUACCAUCCAAUCGAGAGUCUGGAGUCCCAGCCAGGUUCUGUGGCAGUGGAUCUGGGACUUAUUUCUCCCUCACAAUUAAUCCUGUGGAGGCCGACGUUGCUGCAAACUAUUACUGCCAGCAGAGUAAGACAUUUGGGGAACAAUCAUCAAAACUUGAAAUGGACUUGAGGACUGGAUAG